CGGAAUUAGUCAUAAAUAGGUCACUCGUUCAAUUACCCAUCAUCCUCAGUGUUGUUUGGAAGUAAAUCUAAGACUGAAAUCCUUCUUUUCAAAUGGAAUUGUGACCACCAACAACCAUAGAAGUUUGACUAGGCAGGUGUUUUAUUGCCAAGGACAGCAGUGAUUAGGGCAAUAAUAUUGAACACUGUGAAAGUUGAAGCUUUCUAAGAAGGAAGGAGAAAGAGUAGCUUAUGAACUAAAGGCAAGACUUCUGAACUGUUUUGGUUAUCUCUUUGCCUGCAACUUGCACCAUGUGGCAUGACAAACUGUUGCAA